rnacentral:rRNA from 1 species
CAGCCGCCGCGGGAAUACGUAGGUGGCAAGCGUUGUCCGGAAUUAUUGGGCGUAAAGGGCUCGCAGGCGGUUUCUUAAGUCUGAUGUGAAAGCCCCCGGCUCAACCGGGGAGGGUCAUUGGAAACUGGGAAACUUGAGUGCAGAAGAGGAGAGUGGAAUUCCACGUGUAGCGGUGAAAUGCGUAGAGAUGUGGAGGAACACCAGUGGCGAAGGCGGCCAUCUGGGACAACACUGACGCUGAGGCACGAAAGCGUGGGGAGCGAACAGGAUUAGAGACCCCUGUAGUCCCUGUCUCUUAUAC